rnacentral:rRNA from 1 species
GUGCCAGCAGCCGCGGUAAUACGUAGGUGGCAAGCGUUGUCCGGAUUUAUUGGGCGUAAAGCGAGCGCAGGCGGUUUCUUAAGUCUGAUGUGAAAGCCUUCGGCUCAACCGAAGAAGCGCAUCGGAAACUGGGAAACUUGAGUGCAGAAGAGGACAGUGGAACUCCAUGUGUAGCGGUGAAAUGCGUAGAUAUAUGGAAGAACACCAGUGGCGAAGGCGGCUGUCUGGUCUGUAACUGACGCUGAGGCUCGAAAGCAUGGGUAGCAAACAGGAUUAGAUACCCUGGUAGUCCAUGCCGUAAACGAUGAGUGCUAGGUGUUGGAGGGUUUCCGCCCUUCAGUGCCGCAGCUAACGCAUUAAGCACUCCGCCUGGGGAGUACGACCGCAAGGUUGAAACUCAAAGGAAUUGACGGGGGCCCGCACAAGCGGUGGAGCAUGUGGUUUAAUUCGAAGCAACGCGAAGAACCUUACCAGGUCUUGACAUCCUUUGACCACUCUAGAGAUAGAGCUUUCCCUUCGGGGACAAAGUGACAGGUGGUGCAUGGUUGUCGUCAGCUCGUGUCGUGAGAUGUUGGGUUAAGUCCCGCAACGAGCGCAACCCUUAUUACUAGUUGCCAGCAUUUAGUUGGGCACUCUAGUGAGACUGCCGGUGACAAAACCGGAGGAAGGUGGGGACGACGUCAAAUCAUCAUGCCCCUUAUGACCUGGGCUACACACGUGCUACAAUGGAUGGUACAACGAGUUGCGAGACCGCGAGGUUUAGCUAAUCUCUUAAAACCAUUCUCAGUUCGGAUUGUAGGCUGCAACUCGCCUACAUGAAGCCGGAAUCGCUAGUAAUCGCGGAUCAGCAUGCCGCGGUGAAUACGUUCCCGGGCCUUGUACACACCGCCCGU